rnacentral:rRNA from 1 species
UUUUGGACAAUGGGCGAAAGCGUGAUCCAGCAAUGCCGCGUGUGUAAGAAGGCCUUCGGGUUUAAAGCACUUUGUCCGGAAAGAAUCCGUCUGGCUAAUACCGGGAUGUGAUGACGGUACCGGAAGAAUAAGCACCGGCUAACUACGUGCCAGCAGCCGCGGUAAUACGUAGGGUGCGAGCGUUUAUCGGAAUUACUGGGCGUAAAGCGUGCGCAGGCGGUUUUGCAAGUCAGGUGUGAAAUCCCCGGGCUCAACCUGGGAACUGCACUUGUGACUGCAUGACUAGAGUGCGUCAGAGGGAGGUGGAAUUCCGCGUGUAGCAGUGAAAUGCGUAGAUAUGCGGAGGAACACCGAUGGCGAAGGCAGCCUCCUGGGAUGACACUGACGCUCAUGCACGAAAGCGUGGGGAGCAAACAGGAUUAGAUACCCUGGUAGUCCACGCCCUAAACGAUGUCAACUAGUUGUCGGGGACUCAUUUCCUCGGUAACGCAGCUA